rnacentral:lncRNA from 1 species
GGGUCCAAAGCCCGACUAGUCCCGCGCGUUUGCGCCUCGGGGCACGGGGCCUGCGCUCCUGGAUCGGGUCCCGGGAAUCGGAAACAGAGCUCGCGCUUCCCCGCAUCCUCCCGGCUUCGCCGCUCAGCUCGGCAUCCCCGAACCCAGCCUCGCAGCCCCGGCUCUAGCUCCCGUCGUCCCGCACUCACCGCGCCCCCGCUCCCGGCGCCCGCGCAGCCUCCGCCCGCUGUCCCGGCGCCGCCGUCUCUCCGCGGGACUGCAGGCCAGGGACGGUGAGGGGGCAGGGCGGUGCGGAGGGGCGGGGCCGCUGCAGGUAACAAUGCUGCCUACCCGGCUGCUCCUCCAGCCGGCCGCAAAGGACAGCACGCCCUUUCCUGCUCCGCUGCCUCCCUCGCUCCCCCUUCAACCCUAAGAGCACCGCCACUGCGCUCGCCCUCGCCAGCUCCGGGCUCCGGAGACUCGAAAGCCGCCGCCCAGCACGCUGCUCCUGGCACCUGAAGACCAGCUCCGGGCUGGGCGGGCAACCACAGAGGUGGAAUAAAAACAAAAACAAAACCCAAAACCAACCAAACAAAAACACAGCCAAGAGGAUGGGGACCGAAGCAUUCCAUGUGGAGCCUCUACUGUUUUAGUUACCCUGAGAGAGGGGAGGACCCCUGACUUCAAUUGGAGAGAGACUACGUAUGCCCUUGGGAAGAAGGCAGCGU